AAUUAAUAGACGUAUAAGUGCAUAGUGUAGUGAUGAAUAAUGAUU
rnacentral:guide_RNA from 1 species